CUGGAGGUAUCAGAAGUGCGAAUGCUGACAUAAGUAACGAUAAAGCGGGUGAAAAGCCCGCUCGCCGGAAGACCAAGGGUUCCUGUCCAACGUUAAUCGGGGCAGGGUGAGUCGACCCCUAAGGCGAGGCCGAAAGGCGUAGUCGAUGGGAAACGGGUUAAUAUUCCCGUACUUGGUGUUACUGCGAAGGGGGGACGGAGAAGGCUAUGUUGGCCGGGCGACGGUUGUCCCGGUUUAAGCGUGUAGGUGUGUGUUCCAGGUAAAUCCGGUUCACUUUAACACUGAGGCGUGAUGACGAGGCACUACGGUGCUGAAGCAACAAAUGCCCUGCUUCCAGGAAAAGCCUCUAAGCAUCAGGUAACACGAAAUCGUACCCCAAACCGACACAGGUGGUCAGG
rnacentral:rRNA from 1 species